UGUUGAGGGCUGUGUGGAGAUGAACUGGGGAAACUUGGGAGAAUGGAAUGAUGAUCAGUGCAUGAAGCGGAAGCCUUUCAUUUGCGCCUUCAAGCGGCACGAGUGGCAGCGGGAGCCGGACGAUUGAAACACUGGAAGGACUCUACAGCAUGGCUUAACAUCAGGUGACGCAUGAAGAUUCAUGCAAUGUGCAAGAUCAGUAAAGAAUCACAAUUUUGAAAUGCUUUGCUGAACCCAUGCCAAAUAAAAUGGAUAAAUAUCAA